rnacentral:tRNA from 1 species
GCCUUCUUAGCUCAGUGGUAGAGCGUUGGUCUCGUAUCAUGUUAAAGAUAACCAAAGGUCGAGAGUUCAAUUCUCUUAGGAGGCA